GACUAUCCGUACUUCGCCACAUGGAACUGUGAGAGGAGGAGAGGGAGGGACACAAUUACCGACCAAACCACAAGCUUUUCACUUCUCUCUCUCUCUCUCUCUCUCUCUCUUUCUCUCUCAACAUUUUCGUGAGCCCUAGAAUAGAAUUUCUGAUUAUCCUGCGAAACAAACAGAAAAAAAGAAAAAAGGAAAUCGGAGCUUUUCUUCGUCUCGUUCGUUAAUGGCGCUUUCGGAGGAGGAAUGCUCCUCGGCGAAAUCCCGAUCGACGUCCUCGGCGGCGUCGACUAGCAGCUCUCAUUACCUCGCCAAGUGCGUCCUCAGAGGAAGCGUCGUUCUCCACGUCGUCUAUGGCCGAAUCCGCUCUCCCACCUCCUUCGACGUCGUUUUCGGCAAGGAAACGUCCAUAGAACUGGUAGUGAUAGGGGAAGACGGGAUAGUUCAAUCUGUAAGCGAUCAGCCUGUGUUUGGGACGCUUAAAGACCUUGCAAUCCUACCAUGGAAAGACAAGUUUUGCCCGCGAAACGCGCAGAUGUUGGGUAGGGAUUUUUUGCUUGUUCUUUCUGAUUCUGGGAAGCUCUCGGUUCUAUCGUUUUGCAACGAAAUGCAUAGGUUCUUCCCAGUGACUCAAGUUCAACUUUCAAAUCCUGGAAACUCUAGGGAUCAACUUGGAAGAUUGCUAGCUGUUGAUUCCAGUGGAUCUUUCAUUGCUGCAAGUGCCUAUGAAAAUCAGUUGGCUAUGUUCUCUGUUUCAGUGUCUGCUGGCAGUGAUAUUAUUGAUAAGAGAAUAGUUUAUCCUCCUGAAAAUGAGGGAGAUCUAAGUAUAACUAGAAGCGUCCAGAAGAACAGUAUAAAUGGUACCAUAUGGGGCAUGUGCUUUAUUUCAAAAGAUCCUUCCCAACCAAGUAAGGGGAAUAAUCCUGUACUUGCCAUUCUUCUGAAUAGGAGGUCACAUCUUAAUGAGCUUCUUUUAUUGGGAUGGAACAUUAGAGAUCAUUCCAUAUCUGUUCUAUCACAGUAUGUUGAAGAUGGACCUUUGGCAUAUGACAUUGUAGAAGUCCCUCAUUCUUAUGGAUUUGCUAUUAUGUUCAGGGUGGGUGAUGCUUUCUUAAUGGAUCUUAGAGAUGCUCAUAACCCUCGUUGUGUCUAUAGAACAAACUUAAAUUUUUUACCCCAUGCAGUUGAUGAGCAGAAUUUUGUUGAAGAAUCGUGCAAGACAGAACAUGAGGUUGAUGAUGAAGGUUUGUUUAAUGUUGCUGCCUGUGCGUUGCUGGAGCUUAGGGAUUAUGAUCCGAUGUGCAUAGAUGGUGACAGCGGAAACGUAAAUGUUAGCUACAAACACUCGUGUUCAUGGAGUUGGGAACCGGGAAAUAGUAAAAAACUAAGGAUGAUUUUUUGUUUAGAUACUGGAGAAUUUUUCAUGAUUGAAAUUUGCUUUGACUCUGAUGUUCCUAAGGUUAGUCAAUCUGAUUGUCUUUACAAAGGUUCACCUUGCAAGGCGCUUUUGUGGGUUGAAGGUGGGUUUCUUGCUGCUCUUGUUGAGAUGGGGGAUGGUAUGGUCCUGAAAUUGGAAGAUGAAAGGCUUAUUUAUGCUAGUCCUAUACAAAAUAUUGCUCCCAUCUUGGAUAUGUCAAUUUUAGAUUACCAUGAUGAGAAACACGAUCAAAUCUUUGCCUGUUGUGGAGUGGUUCCAGAGGGAUCAUUAAGAAUAAUUCAAAAUGGCAUUAGUGUAGAAAAGCUACUCAAGACAGCUUCUAUGUAUCAAGGCAUAACUGGUACUUGGACGGUUCAGAUGAAAGUAGUGGAUUCUUAUCAUUCUUUUCUUGUGCUAUCGUUUGUGGAAGAGACGAGGGUCUUGUCAGUUGGUUUAAGCUUUACUGAUGUGACUGAUUCAGUUGGUUUUCAACCUGACGUCAGUACUUUGGCAUGUGGUCUGUUAAAUGAUGGGUUACUUGUCCAGAUUCACCAGCAUGCAGUAAGACUUUGUUUGCCCACUAAAGUUGCCCAUUCAGAAGGAAUUUCUUUGCCUUCUCCCGUUUGUAUAUCUUGGUGCCCAGACAAUAUGAAUAUCAAUUUGGGUGCUGUUGGACAUGAUCUGAUAGUUGUUUCUACUUCUAAUCCUUGUAUUUUAUUCCUUCUUGGGGUCAGAUUGCUGUCAGGAUAUGACUAUGAGAUACAUGUAAUGCAACAUUUGAGAUUACAAUAUGAGUUAUCAUGCAUUUCCAUUCCUCAAAAACGUUUUGAGCGAAAAAGUCCAACUCGCCCUAUUGGUGUUGUGGACGAUAGCUAUCUGUCUGCCCUUCCAUCUGAAGUUGACAUCAGUAAAGCUUUUGUUGUUGGCACACACAAGCCUUCAGUGGAAGUUUUGGUUUUUGAUCCUGAUGAAGGCCUAAGAGUAAUUGCAAAUGGGACAAUUGCACUUACAACUAUUAUGGGAACUGCUGUUAGUGGUUGUGUUCCUCAAGAUGUGAGGCUUGUUUAUGUCAACCGGUUGUAUAUCCUUUCUGGACUGAGGAAUGGUAUGCUGCUUCGUUUUGAGUGGCCUUCUGCCUUUACAUUUUCACCAUCAGUACUGGCCAAUCGGAAUGCUCUUUCUUCUGUUCUAGUGGAUGCAGGUCCUGUUUUUUCUAGCACAUCAGCACCGAAUAGUUUUGGUCUAAAAGCCAAUGAUGUUAAAUUAUCUGAGAAGGCAAAGUCUAAAAAUCCUAUUAAUCUUCAAUUGAUCGCCAUUCGUCGCAUUGGCAUCACUCCUGUUUUCCUAGUUCCCUUGAGUAGCUCGCUUGAUGCUGAUAUAAUUGCUCUAAGUGACAGACCUUGGUUGUUACACACUGCAAGGCAUAGUCUCUCUUAUACAUCUAUUUCGUUCCAAGCUUCAACACACGUGACUCCUGUAUGUUCUGCCGAGUGCCCGAAGGGUAUUUUGUUUGUUGCAGAGAACAGUCUACAUUUGGUGGAGAUGGUGCAUUGUAAGAGGCUUAAUGUACAGAAGCUUAGUCUUGGAGGCACUCCUCGAAAGGUUCUGUAUCACAGUGAAAGCAGGUUAUUGCUUGUGAUGAGGACUGAUCUCACAAAUGAUACAUGUUCGUCUGAUAUAUGUUGUGUAGAUCCUUUAAGCGGUACAGUGCUCUCAUCUUUUAAACUUGAUCAUGGAGAAACAGGAAAAUCUAUGGAGUUGGUGAGAGUAGGGAAUGAACAGGUUCUUGUUGUUGGAACUCGUCUGUCUUCUGGUCCAGCCAUAAUGCCCAGUGGCGAGGCUGAGAGUACAAAGGGUCGUCUUAUUGUUCUCUGUCUUGAACACGCGCAAAACUCGGAUAGUGGUUCAAUGACAUUCUCUUCGAAGGCAGGUUCAUCUUCUCAACGAGCUUCGCCAUUUCGUGAAAUUGUUGGAUAUGCCACAGAACAGCUAUCUAGCAGUAGCCUGUGCAGUAGCCCAGAUGAUACCAGCUGUGAUGGAAUCAAACUUGAAGAAACUGAAGCAUGGCAGUUACGGUUGGCUUAUUCAGUCAUGUGGCCUGGAAUGGUACUCGCGAUUUGUCCCUAUCUUGAACGAUACUUCUUGGCAUCUGCCGGUAAUUCUUUUUAUGUCUGUGGUUUUCCGAAUGACAAUUCCCAACGGGUGAGAAAAUUCGCUGUGGGGAGGACAAGGUUUAUGAUUACGUCUUUGACUGCACACUUUACAAGAAUUGCUGUUGGCGACUGUCGCGAUGGUAUCCUCUUCUUCUCUUAUCAUGAAGAUGCUAGAAAGCUGGAACAACUUUACUGUGAUCCGUCACAAAGAUUAGUUGCGGAUUGUCUUCUCAUGGAUCUAGAUACUGCUGUUGUAUCAGACCGUAAGGGGAGCAUUGCUGUCCUUUCAUGUGCUGAUCACUUAGAAGAUAAUGCUAGUCCAGAAUGCAACUUAAAUGUAAGCUGUGCCUAUUAUAUGGGUGAGAUAGCUAUGAGCAUAAAAAAGGGAUCAUUUUCAUAUAGCCUUCCAGCAGAUGAUGUAUUGAAGGGCAGCAACAUGAAGAUUGACUCUGCACGCAAUACCAUUAUUGCCAGCACCCUGCUAGGAAGUAUAAUUACCUUCAUUCCUUUAUCAAGGGAUGAAUAUGAACUAUUGGAAGCUGUCCAAAGUAGGCUUGUAGUUCAUCCAUUGACUGCUCCUAUACUUGGAAAUGAUCAUAACGAGUUUCGCAGCCGUGAAAACCCGCCUGGAGUACCUAAAAUACUUGACGGUGAUAUGCUUACUCAAUUCUUGGAACUUACAAGAAUGCAACAAGAAGCUGUACUGUCGUUACCUCUGGGCACAAAAGAUGCAGUAAGCUCAAGCUCAAAAACUACUCCUCCGCCGAUCCCUGUCAAUCAGGUUGUGCAGCUCUUGGAGCGAGUACAUUAUGCACUAAACUGAUCUAAGAAUGUGUUCCAAUUCUCCAACCUGUUUAUGAGUUAUGGAAAUAGGUUUCAAGUGUCCAAUUGAAGAAGCGCUUGAGCCGACUUUCAUAUGCCAGUUUUUUUAUGGCAGCAUCUUCAUUUGUCCUCCAAGUUUUCUGAGCAAUGAAACAUCGGUCCAGAAAACCAAAUACCUCGUAUCGCUAAACAUCUUUUGUUACUUAGUCUUAUGGUUAAUGCUGUAGCAAGAUGUUUCUGACGACUCACUUUCUCAGUUUGAAUCUAAGGUGGAGCAACAGCUGAGCCCAGCAAAUAAAAUGCCAAGAUGUGGGUGGAUUUUUCGCCAUUUCACUCCAUGAGAAUCAAGCGGUCGACCAAAAGAUUGAGCCCAGCCCAACCUACAAUGAAGCACUUAGCCAUAUGACAUGCAAAAGUGCACCAAAAAAAAAGUAAUAAUAUAUUGAAGAGAGAAUCUUGGAAUCUGCCCCCUUAAGAUACUUUUCUAGUUUUGUAUCAUUCACUUAAAUUUUGCCAUUUUUAAGUUGAAAUGUAAUGAGAAAAAGUAAGGGUACAUUCUAGGAUAGACAUUUUUUUUAA